AUAGUCUAUAGGUAGUUAGUCUAUAGGUAGUUAGUCUAUAGGUAGUUAGUCUAUAGGUAGUUACAGUCUAUAGGUAGUUACAGUCAAUAGGUAGUUACAGUCUAUAGGUAGUUAGUCUAUAGGUAGUUAUAGUCUAUAGGUAGUUACAGUCUAUAGGUAGUUACAGUCUAUAGGUAGUUAGUCUAUAGGUAGUUACAGUCUAUAGGUAGUUAGUCUAUAGGUAGUUAGUCUAUAGGUAGUUACAGUCUAUAGGUAGUUACAGUCUAUAGGUAGUUACAGUCUAUAGGUAGUUACAGUCUAUAGGUAGUUAGUCUAUAGGUAGUUAUAGUCUAUAUGUAGUUAGUGUAUAGGUAGUUACAGUCUAUAGGUAGUUAGUCUACAUGUAGUUACAGUCUAUAGGUAGUUACAGUCUAUAGGUAGUUAGUCUAUAGGUAGUUAGUCUAUAGGUAGUUACAGUCUAUAGGUUGUUAGUCUAUAGGGAUUUACAGUCUAUAGAUAGUUAGUCUAUAGGUAGUUAGUCUAUAGGGAGUUACAGUCUGUAGGGAGUUACAGUCUAUAGGUAGUUACAGUCUAUAGGUAGUUAGUCUAUAGGUAGUUAGUCUAUAGGUAGUUACAGUCUAUAGGUAGUUACAGUCUAUAGGUAGUUAGUCUAUAGGUAGUUAGUCUAUAGGUAGUUAGUCUAUAGGUAGUUACAGUCUAUAGGUAGUUACAGUCUAUAGGUAGUUAGUCUAUAGGUAGUUAGUCUAUAGGUAGUUAGUCUAUAGGUAGUUAGUCUAUAGGUAGUUAUAGUCUAUAGGUAGUUAUAGUCUAUAGGUAGUUACAGUCUAUAGGUAGUUAUAGUCUAUAGGUAGUUAUAGUCUAUAGGUAGUUACAGUCUAUAGGUAGUUAUAGUCUAUAGGUAGUUAUAGUCUAUAGGUAGUUACAGUCUAUAGGUAGUUAUAGUCUAUAGGUAGUUACAGUCUAUAGGUAGUUAUAGUCUAUAGGUAGGGCCUUGGGCUUAAACCUGGUUCGGUAAGGUGGUGAGGUAUAACUUCUGGUCCCAAA